rnacentral:rRNA from 1 species
UACGUAGGGUGCAAGCGUUGUCCGGAAUUAUUGGGCGUAAAGAGUUCGUAGGCGGUCUGUCACGUCGGCUGUGAAAUCCCGAGGCUCAACCUCGGGUCUGCAGUCGAUACGGGCAAACUAGAGUAUUGCAGGGGAGACUGGAAUUCCUGGUGUAGCGGUGAAAUGCGCAGAUAUCAGGAGGAACACCGGUGGCGAAGGCGGGUCUCUGGGCAAUAACUGACGCUGAGGAGCGAAAGCGUGGGGAGCGAACAGG